GUGGCAGCCGCCGCGGUAAAACCAGCACCUCAAGUGGUCAGGAUGAUUAUUGGGCCUAAAGCAUCCGUAGCCGGCUAUGUUAGUUUUCGGUUAAAUCCAUGUGCUCAACACAUGGGCUGUCGAGAAUACUGCAUAGCUAGGGAGUGGGAGAGGUAGACGGUACUCGGUAGGAAGGGGUAAAAUCCUUUGAUCUAUCGAUGACCACCAGUGGCGAAGGCGGUCUACCAGAACACGUCCGACGGUGAGGGAUGAAAGCUGGGGGAGCAAACCGGAUUAGAUACCCGGGUAGUCCCAGCUGUAAACUAUGCAAACUCAGUGAUGCAUUGGCUUGUGGCCAGUGCAGUGCCGCAGAGAAGUCGUUAAGUUUGCCGCCUGGGAAGUACGUACGCAAGUAUGAAACUUAAAGGAAUUGGCGGGGGAGCACCACAAGGGGUGAAGCCUGCGGUUCAAUUGGAGUCAACGCCAGAAAUCUUACCCGGAGAGACAGCAGAAUGAAGGUCAAGCUGAAGACUUUACCAGACAAGCUGAGAAGUGGUGCAUGGCCGUCGCCAGCUCGUGCCGUGAGAUGUCCUGUUAAGUCAGGUAACGAGCGAGAUCCCUGCCUCUAGUUGCCACCAUCACUCUCAGGAGUAGUGGGGCGAAUUAGCGGGACUGCCGCAGUUAAUGCGGAGGAAGGAGGGGACCACGGCAGGUCAGUAUGCCCUGAAACUCUGGGGCCACACGCGGGCUGCAAUGGUAGUUACAGUGAGUUCCGAAUCCGAAAGGAGGAGGUAAUCUUCAAACGCUACCACAGUUAUGAUUGAGGGCUGCAACUCGCCCUCAUGAAUAUGGAAUCCCUAGUAACUGCGUGUCAUUACCGCGCGGUGAAUACGUCCCUGCUCCU
rnacentral:rRNA from 1 species